GGGGGCAUAGGCUAAUGGUAAACUGUCGCUCUCCAAAAGCGAAUUUCUAGGUUCAAAUCCUAGUGCCCCCG
rnacentral:tRNA from 1 species